rnacentral:rRNA from 1 species
AUGGAGGCAGCAGCAGCCCCUCCCACGCAAAGUACGGUGGCAACUACUGUGCUUGAGGAAGCAACCCCUGAGCAGGAGCAAGCAACCGCCCAGGACUCAACAGACAAGCCUCCGGUACUCCCCAACAAGCAAGCAUAUUCUGCAAAGGGGAAAGAAAUCUCACUGGAUGAUGUUAGGGACAUCAACAACCUCCUUGAGAAGUGUGUGAGCCCAGGUUCGACGCCACCACUCGCGAGGAGUAAUUCUGCUGGCACCAUACCUGUAAUACGGACAUCAGCUACCAUCAAUCUACCAGCAAACAAAGGAGCAUGCGAUUCAGCCAGCAGCUCGGAAGAACCUAUUCCAGAGAAGCGCGAGAGGAAGAUACAUAAAGCUCCACCAUCACAGAGGUCACCAUAUGUGAAUGUAGAGAUGAGGAAGGAUUUCACAUGCAAUGCAGAGACAAACAGAGCGUAUGCACUGAUUCUGUUGCUUGGAGGAGGAGGAGGGACGAGAAGGACGUCGCAGGAGCCUUUCUGUUUGUUCUACAUGCCGCAAAUCAUAAACUAUCAUGGUUACUUCUGCACAAUCAAGGAGCUUGCUCAAUCAAUGAGGAAGGCAGGAUGGAUGAAGAUACAUGUCUUUGAGUUAGGGAUUGAAGCAAUCAUGUACAACAGACAGGUGGGGUCCAAGAAAAUAAUCAUGCCUGUUAGGUUUUCGACUUGGCUUCAGAGGCUCGAUCUAGAUGUGAGGGAGCUGCAUGAUAGGUUCAAAAAAUCAAACCGUUUGGAUGAGCAAGACAUGGUUAUGAUUCCCGUGCUUGAAAAUUUAGACCCAGAGAACGCCAAUGGUGCACACCACUACUGGGUACUCAACAUCAACUUGAGGGACAAAAGGUUCGAAGUGUUUGACUCAUGGAGGAUGUUAAAGAAAAGCAAGAGGCUGGAUGAUGUUGCAAGGGCUAUUGUAGCUGCAGUUCGUGUGUUGUGGGACAAGUACUAUCCAAAACAAGCAAAGACAAUGGACCAGUUCCCGCUUGUGGAUAUCGAUGCACCAAAGCAGACUGUAUCCGGUGACUGUAGCAUAUUCGCAUUGAUGAACGCGUUAUUGUGGAACGAGACGUGGCUCCCGAACUACGGACAAAGCGACAUACCAAACAUCAGGAAGAAGAUGACCAUCUCCAUGCUGAAGUGUGACUUGAACAAGAUUCCAUGGCAGGAGAUCCUCAAACCGGCCAACAAGUGA